AAGUUUUAUUUUAGCUAUAAAUUUAUUAUAUUUAUAUUUUACAUGUAAAUUUUUGUAAGAUUAAAAAGUAUUUUAAAAAAAUAUUUUAAAAAAAUUUGAUUCUCAGUAUUUAAUUUUAAAUGAUAAAAGAAAUUUUGAUUUAGUAAUAAAUUUUAUUAUAGGAUAAAUUUGUGCCAGCAUCUGCGGUUAUACAAAUUAUAAAAAUAAAUUUUAUUAGAUUAUAGUUAAUUAAAUUAAAAAUUAAAAAUUAAAAGUUAAAAUUUUAGGUUAAAUUAUAAAUUUAAUAAUAUUUUUUAAAAAAUAAAAUGAAGCUAUAAAAUUUUAAUAAUAAACUAGGAUUAGAUACCCUAUUAUAUAAAGUAUAAAUUAAAUUAAUCUAAGGUAGUAAUAGAUAUAAUCUUAAAACUUAAAAAAUUUGGCGGUGUUUUAAUCUAUUUAGAGGAACCUGUUCUUUAAUUGAUAAUCCACGUUAAAUUUUACUAGAUUUAAUUAAAUUUGUAUACCGUCGUUAACAGAUUAUCUUAAAAGAGACUAAUAUUCAAUUAAUUCAAUAAAAUUUUAUUUCAGAUCAAGGUGCAGUUUAUAAUAUAGCAGAAAUGGGUUACAAUAAUUUUAUUUAUACGUUUAAAUUAUUGAAAUAUAAUUUUUAAGGUGGAUUUAAUAGUAAUAUUAAUUAAAUUAUUAUUAUGAUUUUAGUUCUAAAACAUGUACACAUCGCCCGUCGCUCUUUCUUUUAAAGAAAGAUAAGUCGUAACAAAGUAGAUGUACUGGAAAGUGUAUCUAGAAUGAU
rnacentral:ncRNA from 1 species